rnacentral:pre_miRNA from 1 species
UGUCAUGGGUGAGCAAAGAAAGUGGUUUCUUCAGAUAGACUCCACUCCUGGUGAAGAUGCUGUGACAA